rnacentral:lncRNA from 1 species
CUAUUUCCGCCGUCGCGGGCUAAGAAAAGGGAGGUCUUGUCGCGUGCUUGUUCUUUUUUGGCGUCCCGCGCGCUCUCUCGCCAUCUCUCGAAAUCCCCAAGCAUCCUGCAACUUCCCCAGCUGUCUGCUCUGUCUCCGCCGCUUCCCGGCGCCAGGGCGUCGGGGCCUCGCUGUGAACGCCUCUCCUGCAGACAUGAAAGCUCUCUCCUGGAUGUUUCUUGCUGGUUCUGCAGCAGCCAGCGCCCUCUUCUCUCUGGAUUCCCUCGGGGGCGUUCAGCCUCCAGGGGGAGGAUGUCCCCGGGUUGCCCAGAUGCUGCUAGAGAAACACAGCGCACUCAACACCCUUUUGAACAGAGCCCUUAGUAACACUGAUUUAGAUUAAGAUCUCCUGAGAUAACACUGAUUUAGAUUAAGAUCUCCUGCCCCUUUCCUAGAGGUAAGCUGCUUGUCUUGUUCCUAUAAUAAAUCUUGGCUAUUUAGGUGAUGGUCA